rnacentral:rRNA from 1 species
UAUGGAGAGUUUGAUCCUGGCUCAGGAUGAACGCUGGCGGCGUGCCUAAUACAUGCAAGUCGAGCGAACAGACAAGGAGCUUGCUCCUUUGACGUUAGCGGCGGACGGGUGAGUAACACGUGGGUAACCUACCUAUAAGACUGGGAUAACUUCGGGAAACCGGAGCUAAUACCGGAUAAUAUUUCGAACCGCAUGGUUCGAUAGUGAAAGAUGGUUUUGCUAUCACUUAUAGAUGGACCCGCGCCGUAUUAGCUAGUUGGUAAGGUAACGGCUUACCAAGGCGACGAUACGUAGCCGACCUGAGAGGGUGAUCGGCCACACUGGAACUGAGACACGGUCCAGACUCCUACGGGAGGCAGCAGUAGGGAAUCUUCCGCAAUGGGCGAAAGCCUGACGGAGCAACGCCGCGUGAGUGAUGAAGGUCUUCGGAUCGUAAAACUCUGUUAUUAGGGAAGAACAUACGUGUAAGUAACUAUGCACGUCUUGACGGUACCUAAUCAGAAAGCCACGGCUAACUACGUGCCAGCAGCCGCGGUAAUACGUAGGUGGCAAGCGUUAUCCGGAAUUAUUGGGCGUAAAGCGCGCGUAGGCGGUUUUUUAAGUCUGAUGUGAAAGCCCACGGCUCAACCGUGGAGGGUCAUUGGAAACUGGAAAACUUGAGUGCAGAAGAGGAAAGUGGAAUUCCAUGUGUAGCGGUGAAAUGCGCAGAGAUAUGGAGGAACACCAGUGGCGAAGGCGACUUUCUGGUCUGUAACUGACGCUGAUGUGCGAAAGCGUGGGGAUCAAACAGGAUUAGAUACCCUGGUAGUCCACGCCGUAAACGAUGAGUGCUAAGUGUUAGGGGGUUUCCGCCCCUUAGUGCUGCAGCUAACGCAUUAAGCACUCCGCCUGGGGAGUACGACCGCAAGGUUGAAACUCAAAGGAAUUGACGGGGACCCGCACAAGCGGUGGAGCAUGUGGUUUAAUUCGAAGCAACGCGAAGAACCUUACCAAAUCUUGACAUCCUUUGACAACUCUAGAGAUAGAGCCUUCCCCUUCGGGGGACAAAGUGACAGGUGGUGCAUGGUUGUCGUCAGCUCGUGUCGUGAGAUGUUGGGUUAAGUCCCGCAACGAGCGCAACCCUUAAGCUUAGUUGCCAUCAUUAAGUUGGGCACUCUAAGUUGACUGCCGGUGACAAACCGGAGGAAGGUGGGGAUGACGUCAAAUCAUCAUGCCCCUUAUGAUUUGGGCUACACACGUGCUACAAUGGACAAUACAAAGGGCAGCGAAACCGCGAGGUCAAGCAAAUCCCAUAAAGUUGUUCUCAGUUCGGAUUGUAGUCUGCAACUCGACUACAUGAAGCUGGAAUCGCUAGUAAUCGUAGAUCAGCAUGCUACGGUGAAUACGUUCCCGGGUCUUGUACACACCGCCCGUCACACCACGAGAGUUUGUAACACCCGAAGCCGGUGGAGUAACCAUUUGGAGCUAGCCGUCGAAGGUGGGACAAAUGAUUGGGGUGAAGUCGUAACAAGGUAGCCGUAUCGGAAGGUGCGGCUGGAUCACCUCCUU